UUUUUUUCGGUUCGGUUUUUUUUCGGUUCGGUUUUUUUCGGUUCGGUUUCGGUUUUUUGUUUUUUUUUUCUUUCAAAAAAUGAAAAACAUUGAAAUUUUAAAUUUUAACGUAUCCAACACAAUCAUAACAUAAGCAUUCUAACUAUAAUCAAAGACAAUGAAAAUAAACAACUUGAUUAGUAAAAGAAAUGCGUGGGUGGAUUUAUUUAGUGUGUGUUGGAUUCUUUUCCAUCACAAAUUCCCUAAGUAAUCUACCCGAAAUAAAUGUUUAUGGAUUCUGUUACAUGUUAUAUGAGAGUAGAUUUGGAAAAGAAAGCUGAGACAGAAGUAGACAGUGCUAUGGAGAUGGAUGUAGGUACUUCAGGAUGAGGUUUGGUUCCGGAACCUUAUAUGGGGGAUAAAUAAUAGGUUAGGGUUUAGAGUUUUUAUAGGACUUUUUUUUAAUAUUUUGAGCUUAAAGUUUGGCAACACAUUGGGUUUAGCACAUUUUAACUUACAAAUUGGGUUUAGAAAAUAAUAUCCAAAACAAAUAAUUAAAUAAAAAAAUUAAUUUAAUUAAUUCGGUUCGGUUCGGUUUGGUUCGGUUUCUAGAUCACUAAAACCGAACCGAACCAAAAGAAUUCGGUUCGGUUCGGUUUUUUCAAUUCGGUUCGGUUUUUUUGUUCGGUUCGGUUUUUUCGGUUUCGGUUCGGUUUGGUUUUCGGUUUUUU
rnacentral:lncRNA from 1 species